GAACGCUGGCGGCGUGCUAACACAUGCAAGUCGAACGAAGCAACUAUCUUGCUUGCAAGAGAGUUGACUUAGUGGCGGACGGGUGAGUAACGCGUGGGUAACCUGCCUCAUACAGGGGGAUAACAGUUGGAAACGACUGCUAAGACCGCAUAACCCGCUAGUGUCGCAUGACACGGACGGAAAAUAUUUAUAGGUAUGAGAUGGGCCCGCGUCUGAUUAGCUAGUUGGUAAGGUAACGGCUUACCAAGGCGACGAUCAGUAGCCGACUUGAGAGAGUGAUCGGCCACAUUGGGACUGAGACACGGCCCAAACUCCUACGGGAGGCAGCAGUGGGGGAUAUUGGACAAUGGGGGAAACCCUGAUCCAGCGAACCGCCGCGUGAGUGAAGAAGUAUUUCGGUAUGUAAAGCUCUAUCAGCAGGGAAGAUAAUGACAGUACCUGACUAAGAAGCCCCGGCUAACUACGUGCCAGCAGCCGC
rnacentral:rRNA from 1 species